GAUGACACGUUUAGACGAUGACACGUUCAGACGAUGACACGUUCAGACGAUGACACGUUCAGACGAUGACACGUUUAGACGAUGACACGUUUAGACGAUGACACGUUUAGACGAUGACACGUUCAGACGAUGACACGUUUAGACGAUGACACGUUUAGACGAUGACACGUUUAGACGAUGACACGUUCAGACGAUGACACGUUUAGACGAUGACACGUUCAGACGAUGACACGUUUAGACGAUGACACGUUCAGACGAUGACACGUUCAGACGAUGACACGUUCAGACGAUGACACGUUCAGACGAUGACACGUUUAGACGAUGACACGUUCAGACGAUGACACGUUCAGACGAUGACACGUUUAGACGAUGACACGUUUAGACGAUGACACGUUCAGACGAUGACACGUUCAAACGAUGACACGUUUAGACGAUGACACGUUCAGACGAUGACACGUUCAGACGAUGACACGUUUAGACGAUGACACGUUCAGACGAUGACACGUUCAGACGAUGACACGUUUAGACGAUGACACGUUCAGACGAUGACACGUUUAGACGAUGACACGUUCAGACGAUGACACGUUCAGACGAUGACACGUUUAGACGAUGACACGUUCAGACGAUGACACGUUCAGACGAUGACACGUUCAGACGAUGACACGUUCAGACGAUGACACGUUUUGACGAUGACACGUUCAGACGAUGACACGUUCUGACGAUGACACGUUCAGACGGUGACACGUUUAGACGAUGACACGUUUAGACGAUGACACGUUCAGACGAUGGCACGUUUAGACGAUGACACGUUUAGAGGAUGACACGUUUAGACGAUGACACGUUUAGACGAUGACACGUUUAGACGACCGUCCUCUCGUGUUCUUACUGGUUUCAGUCGAGGACAAAUCCCUUGAGGGACGAGCAAACCUUCACCUGGGACGCUUGCAUCUGAGGAUGACUCGGCAUGACUCAGCAGAACAGCUUUUUGAAAGCGCCAAGGAGCAUUUCCUGUCCGCACAGGAUGCAGGCGGACUCGCUGAGCUCUACAGAACCAUGGCCGAGUUUUCAGAAAGCAAAGGAAAUCCAGACGAGGUGAUAGAGUUCCUGGAGAAGUCGGCUGAGAUCUGUGAAAGCAGCCGUCUGCACAGCGAGCUCGCAGACGUCACCAUGACUCUCUGCGAGAUUUACUACAGGAAGGUAACAAACACUCGACAGCAACCGGUAAACGAAUCCAGGAGUUUUUACAUAAAGAAAAUGAUCCCCCCACAGGGUCAGUACGAUAGAGUGCGUGAGGUCGCCCUGAAGUGUUUUGACGUGUCCUGUAAGGCCGGACUCACACCUGUGCUGCUGAAAGCUCAGGUAUGACCGACCGUUACCGCGGGUUACAUUCCUGAAGAGACUCUUUCAGAAGCUGGACGUCUGCCUAACAAGCAUGUCUUUGAGGAGGGUCGGGUUCUAGGAACACGUCUUUGGUCUGUUUGGUCGGGAAUGCCGGGACACUUAAUUCUGUUAGCUUUCACAUUGCACUUUUGAGAGAGUAUCAAACUCUAAGAAUAACGGCCCAAUCCAAAUUCUCCAAUUCAUGUAUCCCUCCAAACAGAGGGUUGUGAAACAAUGGUCUUUAAUAUUUCAGACGUGACUUUCGUUCGAUGAUGUCAUCAUAAUCAAUGGUCUGCUAGCGUUAGCACGGAGCUUCCAGCGCUUGGAUAUACAUAACAACGGUUUCAUAACUUUAAAAAGUCAUUACUUGCAUUUAAUUGUAAAUUUCUGUGGUUCAGAGCACGCUUGAGAGCUAAACGGUUUACUUUCCUGAUGGUGGACUCUGGAUCCCUCUGUUUGGAGGGCGAAAUUUAAAAAAUGCUAAUCCGGACACGAUUUCGACUUCCAACUGCAACUUCAAAUUAAGGGAAAGGGAGAAGGGAAGAAUUCGGAUUGGGCCAACAUCUGUAGCUCAGGACACUGUGACGCAUAUUCAAGAACAUGAUUUAGCCCAUGGUGUUCACACUGGACAAGCGAGGAGCAACUUUCUUCUUUCCUUCUACAACUGGACCAUGACAGACGGGUGCAAAUUGGCAAAUUGUGCUCCAGGCUUUUUUUUUUUUUUUUUUGGCAGCUCUCUUCACACAAAUGAAAGACUUGGUGACACACAAUUCUUUAAUUAUUUAUACAUCUUCCAUGAUCAGUUUCCAAGCAGUUGGCUCUACCGUGAAUUGAACCGGACACCAUCCAUUCGUCACGACCAAAUCGGAGUUCCUGAGUGGUCAGCCUGGUAUAACUCUGAGUGUACAAUUAAUGACAUUUCACAAAGAGCCUGGAAACUAAUAUUGUCUAUUAUUCUGAUUUUUAUUUUUUUCUAAAUAGUUUUAGGUCGCACUGACCCUACACGUUCAGCUUUGGUAGGACCAUGUCAGUACAGAUAGUCUGAUCCUAAAAGUGCAGUUUGAAAGUAAACCAAAUCAAACAAUGUUUUGAUUUUUUUCUUUUUUUAUGAUUUAACAUUAAAUCUGACUCUAAAUGUUUCUCUUCGUUCCUAAAAUCUUAAAAACCGUCAGAGCAGUUGGUAAUCGCUCUCUUUGAUCCUCCUCUUCAUUUCUUUUAUUUUUAUCUUCUUGGUCAGACAAUGGUUGGUAUUUCAAGUGCUCAGCUGCUGAUAGAAAAACACGUUUCUGGCGGGAAGUCCUUUUCACCCGCUGCUCUGGAUCGACUCCUGAAGCGGGAGAAGACCGAAGGAUGUGGAGAGCUCAACUCUGAGUGACGUCUGACCUUCUUUUGUCUUUUACCUUAAUGUUAAGAAAAGAAAGAACCUUUUAUUUACUGUCUCAAAAAAAAGUUAUAUUCAAGUUGGAACGAUGUUAUUGACAUAAAUGACUAUUAAAGUGUUUUCAUUCAGAAAAUAUUCACAAGAUGAACUACUUUUCUUACUUUUUAAUAUAUUCUUUAUUAUAUAUGUGUCUUUUAAUUUGAUGUAUGAAAGUUGAAAUUAUAUGUAUUAAAUCACCAUCAUUUACACUUUUAUUUAGAACAGGAGAUCAGAAUCAACAAAACUGAUAAAAACAGAAAUAUUUAGAUAGAAAUGGUGCUUGUCAAUUCAAACUUUUUUGUCAGUCUUCUGGUUAAGUUCAGCAGAAACAUAAACAACAUAAAAAGCAUAAAAAAUAUUGCUUUUGGCAUAAUUUAACAACAAAACCUGAAAAUGUUCUCCACAGUUUUCUAUCCUUAAAGUUCUUCCACAUUUUAUGUUAUAAGCAUCUUCGCUUGAGAAUCUGCUGAAGUUAUGGUAAUUGUGUCAACUAUUAAUGAGUUACCAUAACCAAAGAAAUGAAAACACUGGCGCUAAAGCUCCGGUGUUUAAGCUAAUUCAUUUUUUUCAGAAGUUAUGUCAGCGAGCGGAACUUCAGUCUCAGUUUUUGAACGGAAAAAUAAGCUCUCGCUAGUUUUACUUUGAAAACAGGAAGCUUCACCAACACGAAGAUUUGUUUAGUUCCCGUGAUGGUAGCGCUGCUCUUUUUUUGUUUUGGUUUUGUUCAUACACUUAAAAUCCAACAUUAUUCUGAAUUUCAGAGUAAAAGAAUACAUCAUUCCUUGAUAAUAUUUUCCUACAUUGUAUUAUAUUUCUAAAGAAUUAGCGAAUUAGCGAUCUUUAACGUCGCGAAUAUUCAUACUUCGUGAGUAUCCGAGCACCAAAAUACUCGCUCUAGCGCGAAUCCCUUUCAACUCUGGUUCUGUUUGAGUUUAGUUGGGGUUUGUAUUAGUAUAAACCUGUAUUGUGGAUGACUAAAUGUGAAUAUGAAGCAAAAUGGGAACAAAGGUUAAGGUCAAACAGUUUCCAACGCAACAUAGAUGAAGAAAUUCUUCAGCAUAACAGAAAAUAAAUCGGCCAACAGGUGAAGUCAUAGAUAAACUUCAUUUCAGCCGCUGCACAUUAAUAGUAGACAACAAGAAAUAGCAGAAACAUGAAAACUAUUUAUAUAAUGGAGCAUGGCCACUGCUGUCCACGUUUAAGAGACCAAUGCCAGAUGGACAGAAAUGUUUAGCGUUUCCGUUCUUCUUUCUGAUCUGUAUGAAACAGCCUGAGGGAAUCACCAAGAACUCAGAGGACAGCCUGUUGGGAAGAGAUUCCUUUAGCUCUAUGGAGCAUCUGCCUCUCCCACAGAAUAUCAAGUGCCUCAGAUCUUAUAGAACAGACUUCACAAACCUGCUGUCUCUUUCAGACAGACUUCCUCAACACCAGACAGAACGAUGACUCUCAACGAAAGACAAAAAAUAUCCUGUUCCGUGUCAUAAAGGAGUUCAGCUUUGUGGGUGUGUCCGUUACUGGCACGGUUAAACAAUAUCAGUAAGCCUUUCAUCAAACUCAGUCUGAGAAUGAAGCAGUUUACUGUUUACAGCCUCGUUCCCAUAAAAUAACUUUCAAAAAGGUUCUAUAUCACCAAGGAUUUCUUUUGUUUACUCCACUUUUGGGUCAAAGACAUUUUGAUUGACCCAGAUCAUAAAACCUGGAAGGACGUUACCAUGCGGCCACUCUGACCUUUGGAUGAGGGUCAAAUGUACUUAUUAUCUGAGAAUUUAACCAACUCAGUCAGUGACCUGUCAGGUUGAAACCAUUACAUCUGACGACGUGCUGUUAACUAAAACCUGCUGUUUAACAUGAGGUUAAGGGCGUCAACAAGUAUUUAUUUAAACGCAAAUGGACAGGAAAGCCAUUGAAUUGUGUGAUUGAGUAAAUAUUUAAGUGUAGUUUUAUAGAAAAAGAAUAUAAAGAAAAUUAACAUUUUCUUUUUCAAAAACAAAAUGAUAUAAAAUAUACCACUUCAAAGAUUAACAUAUCUUGGUAUUUAAGCUAAAUAGUUUCUCUGUUGCAUUUUUUAUUUUUUUUAUUUUGUGGCUUUGAUUUUUUUUAAUUUCCAUAUAAUUUUAUCAUUUACCAGUUAAAAUUUUUUAAACAUAUUUGAUAUAUAAGCUACCUAUUUUUCUGUAGUUUUUUCGGGGUUUUUUUUAUUCAACAUUUGAUCAUAUUACAAAUUUUAAUAUUAACAUUUUGUGUAUUUUUUUUCAUUUAUUUCUUAAUAUGUUUGUAUUUCCGCAUCAUUCUUUUAUUAUUUUUUCAAUAUUUCAUGUUUCAAAUAUUUUCUUAAUCUUUGAACUAAAAAUAUAUAUAUUUAUUUCGUAAUUUUGUGUUCUCUAGGAUAAAUUUAGAAAAUGUGGCGCCAAAUGAAAGAAAAUGGCUGCGUGUUUCUUGUUGUAUUUACGGUCGCACUUCGUCCCACGUGUCCGGAAGUAGUUCCGGCUCUUCCACGGUGUUUGCUGACAGAACUCGUCCGCGGGAGCGGUAGCGGAGCUGCGGAGUCUUCAGCCCGGCUGCUGACACUGGAGGGCGGGCGAGGCGACUGGCCG
rnacentral:lncRNA from 1 species